AUUUAUUAGCAUAUCCUAUCCUAGGACCUAUGUGAUGUGUAACUUCGCUUGAUUCUGUUGGACGUCAGUGCUCUGCCCAGCUACAAAAUAGCUUGCAAACUCGCUAGUUAGUUUGUAGUUUUAUUUGCUAGCUAGCUAGUUAGCUAACGUUUCCCUGUACUGAAGUUAGAGCCCCUUGCCAAUCACACUCGGCACCGAGUCCCAAUGCCAGUGCUCCCCAGUGUCUUCAGAGCCAGACGGGACCCCCGCACCAGCCAAGGUAGAGGGAGCCCCUACAACAAUCGAUCCCGUGGAAACCCCUGCACCAACAGAGCUACACAGAAUACCCAUAUCCAUCCGACUGAACAUAAUACCCACACCAACAGAGACGUGCAAACACAACACACUAAUCAAUCCAGUGGAAACCCCAGCACCAACCAUGCGAGACGGAAUCCCCAUAUCUUUACGACGGAACCUAAUCCCCACACCAACAGAGCCAGGCAAACCAUCCACACCAACCAAUCCAGUGGGAAUCCCUAAACCAACCAAUCUAGUUGGAACUCCUACAGCAAUUGAUCCAUCAGGAACCCCUGCACCAACUAUGCUAGACAGAAUCCCCACAUCCAUCAGCCUGAACAAAAUCACCACACUAACAGAGCCAGGCAAACACUCCACAUCAACCAAUCCUGUGGGAACCCCUUCACCAAUUAAUUCAGUGGGGACCCCUGCACCAGCCGAGCUUGAUGGACUCCCCACACCAACAGACCCAGGAAAACCCUCCACAUCAACCAAGCUAGACGGAAUCCCCACAUACAUCUGCCUGAAUGGAAUCCCCACAUCCAUCUGCAUGAACGGAACCCCCACCUCAAUACAGUCCAAAAUCCCCAGACCAAUACAACCUAAAAUUCCCCACACCAAUACAGCCAGGCAAACCCUCCACACAAAAUAAUCCAGUGGGAACCUCUAUACCAAUUGAUGAAACAUCUGACUCCUCUGAGCACCAGGACCAAGAAAUGCAAAGAAAAAUGUGGACAGAUGGAGAUCUAAUCGUUGCUGAAGACGGUGCAACCAUUCAAGCACAAAAGAAAAUCAAAACAACAGGUGUAACUGAUAUUUCAAUUCACUUAUUUAGGCUUAAGGUUCUGUACAAUCAAUCUACAUUUUUGUAUUGUGCCACAUUGUCACGAUAAUGCAAAAUGCAUCAUAUGUUGCAAAACACAUCAUUAUGAGGAUGUGGCACAAUACACUUUGCAUCUUGAAGUGCUAUAUCUUGAAAUCUUGAUUGCUGACAUGUAAAACAUUUUGGAACUGGAUCAACAGUGCACUAAUAUGGAAUUGCCUCAUGGCUACCUCAUAACUUUCACCAUAAAAAGGUAUCAUUGUGAAUGAUGUACGUUCUGCAACUUUGUGAAGGCGUCCGCAUGCUUCCCAGCCAAAACAGUUCGGAAGAGUUCGUGCAUGGUAACUUUUUGUUUGUUUUGGACUUCGGUGAGGGUUUUUUCAGUUGUUCGGGUACACCAUUUUUUUUUUCUUAAGGCAAGCUGAAGUUCGGAACUGAAGUCUACGCCCCUUCGG
ensembl:lncRNA